rnacentral:snRNA from 1 species
GUGCUUGGUUCGGCAGCACAUAUUCCAAAACUGGAACAACACACAGCAGAUUAGCAUAGCCCCUGCACAAGGAUGACAUGUAAGUUCAUGAAGUAUUCCAUAUUUUU